UGAUGAGUAGUGUAGUGGUUUGAGUGUUGAAUUAAGACUCUGGAGACCAGGGUUCAAUUCCCAGCUUGGCUC